UCACGAUUUGCUCCUCUGAUCAAAGAUCAUUUAUGCUUUCAUCAGUCAGCAUAUACAUAUUAAUAUCAACACAUUUUGCAUGCACAACAGAUUCUCACUUUUGAAAUCUUAAGUGCAUGUUUGAUGAAUCAUAGAUUCCUAGUUUCUUCAGUGUAUUUCUGUCAUGUGAGUGUCCUAAAGAAACAAACAAAAGAAAAUCUCCUAAACCUAAAGGAAUCAUUCUCAAAGCUGAGCAAGAGGACUCAGUUAGAUACUAUCACUGGGUUCAUUUGUGGUUGGUUUUGUUAUAUUUACCUAUGACUGAUAACAAAUCUCUUUUGCUUUAGAGUCUACUGAAAAGCCUUCUGACUUUGAGGUAUUGAGUUUUUAAAUUUUAUCUUGAAUUAUUUAUUAACUAUGUAUUUUGUGAAGUAUACAUUCGUUAUUAAUCAUUUUUCUUCUAAACCCAUUUAGCCUGCCAUUGAAAUGCAAAACUCUGUUCCAAAUAAAGCUUUAGAAAGGAGGAAUAAACAAACAUUGAGAGCAGAUAAUAUGUUGACAUUAAAAUCAGGAAAAGAAACAUAUGCAGAAUCACGUUGGAGUUCUAAGAACUUCAAACAGGGUGUUUCAGAAAGUGCUGCACAGAAUUACACGUGUUUACCUGAGGCUACAUAUCAAGAAGAAGUCAAGAAUAUAAAAGGAAAAGUAAAGGGUAAGAAUAACUUUUUAUUUAGAAAUCAUUUGACGGUAUGUUUAUCUAAAAAUUUGAGGACUGUUAUACUGUAAUAGCCUCAGAACAUUACGCACUAAAUGCGUAGUAUAAAAAAAGCGAAUUAAAAUGGUAAUAAGUUACAUAUCUUGUCAGGUGUCAGCAACAGAGUAUAUAGAGAGUGCCGAAAAAGGAACUGAAUUAUUACUUUAAAUUCCAGAUAUUCUAAAACCUGAGGUAUCUCAGGAAAUAAGAGGAAAGACGUAAAAGAGGGAAUAAAGAAUGAGGAAG
rnacentral:lncRNA from 10 species